rnacentral:lncRNA from 1 species
CGUGCGCAUGCGUGGCCAGCGAGGUCCAGGGGCGCAGUGGGGGGAGCCCCCGGGUGGACAUCGGCCCCUUGCCUACGCAGGGCCGCCGCGAGGAUUUUCGGAGGGUCCGCCGCCGGGUCUGGGGAACCCAGCCUUCCAUGCCAAUCUACCGCUAGCUGGAGCUGCCCCAGCCCCGCUGGUCAGGGACCCUGGGUGAGGGCCAGCUUUCCGGUUAGCAUCACCUGGGGGGAGCAGGAGCGAGAGUAGGCCUCAAAAAUGACGUAAAAAGGCGCAGGCGACUCCUGUGUGCACUGUUGGGAGAGCUGUGAUUUAUCUAUCUAUCAGUGGGCUUUCCCUGCUCUCUGGCUGGUUCUGAGGGCUGGACCUCGCUCCCCGCCACUGCCACCCCCACCCCCCAGGAUUCAGUGGUCUCCUGCUGCUAUCAGAAGUGGCAUCUCAGGCCUGCCACUUGCUUUUGGAGUUGGGUGCAGAAGUGUCCUGACUCUCAGCCCCUUGGAAGGCCCAGGUGAUUCCUGUGCCCCACAAGACUGAGAGGCGCUGCUUCAAGAGAUUACAGCUGAAUAGAAAAAGAAAAGUCGGAAAAUGAUAGCAGUGAAAUUUUUCUUUAGAAGAUGCUGUUCAAAAAUCUGCUCAGGUGAAUCUCGACGCCAAAGUGGCACCUUCACUACUGACUUCUCUCCCAGUGACUCUUUUGUCAGCUGUCGUGUCGCUGGAUUUUCACUUUAGGACCUGAACGCAGAACUUACUUACUUCCUACUGUAGAUGGCACUUUUCUCUGAGGACUCAUGCCUCACUCAUUUCUGGAACAAUUUAUGCCGAGGAUCAAGACCAUCUCUCCAGGGCUGUUUCUUUGCCUGAAGAUAAGAGGACACAAGUGGGUGACCUUCACAUUUUUUUCUCUAUGGAAUUGCCUGGUGUAGACAGAAAAACCCAACUGCAAAAACCUAACAAAGCACACUUAAACUGGUUGACCUUCCCCGUGCAAAGUAGAACUAGAAGACCGUGUGAGGCUGGAUCAUGAAUCCUCUUCCUUGUAUGUGGCAGAAGCAACUUGACUUUCUCUUGUUUAUAAACUUUCAAGAGUCUGAGGCACAUCAAUCAAAAGAGAAAAGGGACAACCAUCCGAGUCAGAGGCAUCAGGGAAGAACAGACACUCAUAGAAAUGUUACAGGAGAAGUUCAAGGAUCAUGAAGAACGACCAGCAAAGAGGAAGCAAUGGAUUUUCCCUACAGGUUUCACAAGAACAAGGCCCUACUGACAUCUUGAUUUCUGAUCUCUAUCCAUAAAAACUGGAUAGCUUCUGUAAAUUUAAGAGAAAAAAAAUAAAAAACACAAAAGCAAAC